AUUGAACGCUGGCGGCAGGCCUAACACAUGCAAGUCGAACGAGUGGCGGACGGGUGAGUAAUGUCUGGGAAACUGCCUGAUGGAGGGGGAUAACUACUGGAAACGGUAGCUAAUACCGCAUACAAUAAGCUGUGCCCAGAUGGGAUUGGCUUGUUGGUGGGGUACCGGCUCACCAAGGCGCCGAUCCCUAGCUGGUCUGAGAGGCUGACCAGCCACACUGACACUGAGGCACGGUCCAAACUCCUACGCGAGGCAGCAGUGGGGAAUAUUGCACAAUGGGCGCGAGCCUGAUGCAGCCAUGCCGCGUGUAUGAAGAAGGCCUUCUGGUUGUAAAGUACUUUCAGCGGGGAGGCGUUACCCGCAGAAGAAGCACCGGCUAACUCCGUGCCAGCAGCCGCGGUAAUUC
rnacentral:rRNA from 1 species